CGGGGUGCAGCAGGCGCGAAAACUUUACAAUGCUGGCAACAGCGAUAAGGGGACCUCGAGUGCCAGGAUACAAUCUUGGCUGUCGCGAUGCCUAAAAAGCAUUGCAUAGCAAGGGCCGGGCAAGACCGGUGCCAGCCGCCGCGGUAACACCGGCGGCUCGAGUGGUAACCGCUAUUAUUGGGUCUAAAGGGUCUGUAGCCGGCCGGAUAAGUCUUUUGGGAAAUCCAGCUGCUCAACAGUUGGGCUUUCAGAAGAUACUGUUCGGCUCGAGACCGGGAGAGGUGAGAGGUACUUCAGGGGUAGGGGUGAAAUCUUGUAAUCCUUGAAGGACCACCAGUGGCGAAGGCGUCUCACCAGAACGGAUCUGACGGCAAGGGACGAAAGCUAGGGGCACGAACCGGAUUAGAUACCCGGGUAGUCCUAGCCGUAAACGAUACUCGCUAGGUGUCAGCCACGGUGCGACCGUGGUUGGUGCCGUAGGGAAGCCGUGAAGCGAGCCACCUGGGAAGUACGGCCGCAAGGCUGAAACUUAAAGGAAUUGGCGGGGGAGCAC
rnacentral:rRNA from 1 species